GCCCGGGUGGCGGAAUUGGUAGACGCAAGGGACUUAAAAUCCCUCGGGUAAAUAACCCAUGCCGGUUCAAGUCCGGCUCCGGGCAUCA
rnacentral:tRNA from 1 species